GAUGAACGCUGGCGGCGUGCCUAAUACAUGCAAGUCGAGCGAACGGACGAGAAGCUUGCUUCUCUGAUGUUAGCGGCGGACGGGUGAGUAACACGUGGAUAACCUACCUAUAAGACUGGUAUAACUUCGGGAAACCGGAGCUAAUACCGGAUAAUAUUUUGAACCGCAUGGUUCAAAAGUGAAAGACGGUCUUGCUGUCACUUAUAGAUGGAUCCGCGCUGCAUUAGCUAGUUGGUAAGGUAACGGCUUACCAAGGCAACGAUGCAUAGCCGACCUGAGAGGGUGAUCGGACACACUGGAACUGAGACACGGUCCAGACUCCUACGGGAGGCAGCAGUAGGGAAUCUUCCGCAAUGGGCGAAAGCCUGACGGAGCAACGCCGCGUGAGUGAUGAAGGUCUUCGGAUCGUAAAACUCUGUUAUUAGGGAAGAACAUAUGUGUAAGUAACUGUGCACAUCUUGACGGUACCUAAUCAGAAAGCCACGGCUAACUACGUG
rnacentral:rRNA from 1 species